AUUGAACGCUGGCGGCAGGCCUAACACAUGCAAGUCGAGCGGAUGAAGGGAGCUUGCUCCUGGAUUCAGCGGCGGACGGGUGAGUAAUGCCUAGGAAUCUGCCUGGUAGUGGGGGAUAACGUCCGUACACGGGCGCUAAUACCGCAUACGUCCUGAGUGAGAAAGUGGUGGAUCUUCGGACCUCACGCUAUCAGCUUAGCCUAGGUCGGAUUAGCUAGUUGGUGGGGUAAAGGCCUACCAAGGCGACGAUCCGUAACUGGUCUGAGAGGAUGAUCAGUCACACUGGAACUGAGACACGGUCCAGACGCCUACGGGAGGCAGCAGUGGGGAAUAUUGGACAAUGGGCGAAAGCCUGAUCAAGCAAUGACGCGUGUGUGAAGAAGGUCUUCGGAUUGUAAAGCACGUUAAGUUGGGAGGAAGGGCAGUAAGUUAAUAACUUGCUGUUUUGACGGUACCAACAGAAUAAGCACCGGCUAACUUCGUG
rnacentral:rRNA from 1 species